UUGAAAAUAAUACGGCAGCUAAAAUAUGAAUCUGAUUGUCUGGAAUGGUGGUCACGUGAUUGACGUCAUCAAAAGGCGACUGUCGAUUAAAACUCCAGAAGAUUUUAAAAUGAUCCACGAAGUUUCUCCGUCCUGUGGUUUCUUUAAAGGGUUUUGGUUUGAUGCUCUGACUGAACAUUUUCUAAAAACAUUUUGAAACAACAGAACUUUUAUUUAUUGACAUUUUUAGAGAUUUGUUUCCUUUCUUCUGAUCACCACUGAACCUAAAACAGAAACAUUUUCUUUGGUUUGAUUAUUAAAAAUAAUUUGCACUGAAUAAUUAUUAAUACAGCUAUAAUACUUGGUACAUGUUUAAUACAUAAAAGCUAGUUUCUGAAAGCAACACCAACAUGUGUCUUUGGUGGAGAAUUAGAACUUUUUUCUUAUGUCUAAAGCACGUUUUGUACUUUAUGCAUGCACAGGUCGGUCAGCUGAUCCACUCCUGGGUCCUCCACCAGAGGGCGUAGUUUCCCCUGUUUCACUGCAGCUGCGGUUCUGUUGAGGUUCUGCUCUGGUUCUGCAGGAUCCAGCGACCUUCUGGGUUCAGCGAGAUCAUUUAUGUUCAGAUAUUUGGUCUCUUCCGGAGGUUUUUGAGCAGACAUCAAACAUUCUCCCUGAAUCUAGUGAUGAUCUAUUAACCCCCAAAGACAGGAAACUGGUGAAGAAAAUGUCUGGAUGGAUGUUUGAAUGUUUUUAUGACAAUAAUGUUUUUAAAUUGUUGUGUUUUCAAAACCAUUUGUUAUAUUUAUUGUUUAACAUUUGUUUUCCCUCUUUAUCAAAAUACACAAAGCUA